GGAGAGAUGGCUCAGUGGUUAAGAGCACUGGCUACUCUUUCAGAGGUCCUGAGUUCAAUUCUCAGUACUUACA
rnacentral:tRNA from 1 species